UGCAAGUUGGAUCACCCUGAGCUAACCAGCUAGCUUAAUUACUAAUAUAAUUCAACAAUAUUCAUAACAACACAAGACCCAACAACACGAAUUAAAUCAUUUUUUUACCUGAGUAUGGGAGACAGAAAAGGUUCAAUCCGAAGCAAUAGAGAAAGUACCGCAAGGAAAGCUGAAAGAGAAAUGAAACAACCCAUAUAAGCACUAAAAAACAAAGACUAAACCUUGUACCUUUUGCAUCAUGAUUUAGCCAGUAACCUCAAGCGAAGAGACCUUUAGUUUGAAACCCCGAAACCAGGUGAGCUACCCCGAGACAGCCUAUGUUAAUUUAGGGCCAACCCGUCUCUGUGGCAAAAGAGUGGGAAGAGCUCCGGGUAGAAGUGACAGACCUACCGAACCUGGUGAUAGCUGGUUGCCUGAGAAGUGGAUAGAAGUUCAGCCUCGUACCCCCCAGAUCGGAAGAUAUAUCACCAAGAUACUAAGGGAGAAAUACGAGAGUUAGUUAAAGGGGGUACAGCCCUUUAACAAAGGAUACAACCUUUGCAGGAGGAUAAAGAUCAUAAUAUAUAAAACAUACUGUUCUAGUGGGCCUAAGAGCAGCCACCUAAACAGAAAGCGUUAAAGCUCAGACAGAAAGAAGUUUAUUAUACCGAUAAAGAGUCUUACUCCCCUAAUUAUAUCAGGCCAACCCAUGCCCACAUGGAAGAAAUUAUGCUAAAAUGAGUAACAAGAAGACUUGCUCUUCUCCCAGCACAAGUGUAGACCAGAUCGGACCAACCACUGGAAUUUAACGAACCCAACCCAAGAGCCAGUGACUACGGGUUCAACGGCCGCGGUAUUUUGACCGUGCAAAGGUAGCGCAAUCACUUGUCUCUUAAAUAGAGACCUGUAUGAAUGGCUAGACGAGGGCUUAACUGUCUCCCCCUUCCAGUCAGUGAAAUUGAUCUAUCCGUGCAGAAGCGGGUAUAAUUAUACAAGACGAGAAGACCCUUUGGAGCUUAAGGUACAAAGUUCAACCACGUUAAACGACUCCGUAAGAAGCAGGAACUUAGUGGUAAAUGAGACUUUACCUUCGGUUGGGGCGACCGCGGAGGAAAAGCAAGCCUCCGAGUGGACUGGGCCGAACCCCUAAAGCUAAGAGAAACAUCUAUAAGCCGCAGAACAUCUGACCAAAAAUGAUCCGACUAAAAAGCCGAUCAACGAACCAAGUUACCCUAGGGAUAACAGCGCAAUCCUCUCCCAGAGUCCAUAUCGACGAGGGGGUUUACGACCUCGAUGUUGGAUCAGGACAUCCUAAUGGUGCAGCCGCUAUUAAGGGUUCGUUUGUUCAACGAUUAAAGUCCUACGUGAUCUGAGUUCAGACCGGAGCAAUCCAGGUCAGUUUCUAUCUGUAACGCUACUUUUCCCAGUACGAAAGGAUCGGAAAAGAGGGGCCCAUACUUAAAGCAUGCCCCGCCCCUAAUUGAUGAAAACAAAUAAAUUAAGUAAAGGGAGGGCCAAAACCCCUGCCGCCCAAGAUAAGGGCA
rnacentral:rRNA from 1 species